AACAAACGCUGGCGGCGUGCCUAAUACAUGCAAGUCGAACGGGUAGCAAUAUCAGUGGCGCACGGGUGAGGAAUACAUAGAUAAUCUGCCUUCGAGUCGGGGAUAACCAGUCGAAAGACUGGCUAAUACCGGAUAAGACCACAGGACCUGCGGCUCUAGGGGGUCAAGGUUUUUCGCUUGAAGAUGAGUCUAUGCGAGAUUAGCGAGUUGGUGAGGUAAUGGCUCACCAAGGCGACGAUCUCUAACUGGUCUUAGAGGAUGAUCAGUCACACUGGAACUGAGACACGGUCCAGACUCCUACGGGAGGCAGCAGUAGGGAAUAUUGCGCAAUGGGGGAAACCCUGACGCAGCGACGCCGCGUGAGUGAUGAAGGCCUUCGGGUCGUAAAGCUCUGUCGUAUGGGAAUAACACAAUGAAUGUACCAUGCAAGAAAGGAUCGGCUAACUUCGUGCCAGCAGCCGCGGUAA
rnacentral:rRNA from 1 species